rnacentral:misc_RNA from 1 species
GUCGGAGGUUCAGUCCUCCCAGGCCCACCAUUCCUUUCGACACGAAGGUUAUCAGGGGCCGUAGCUCAGCUGGGAGAGCGCCUGCUUUGCAAGCAGGAUGUCGUCGGUUCGAUCCCGUCCGGCUCCACCAACCAUCUUCUGCGAAGAUGGGGCGUGUCGAGUAGAGACGGUGAGAAAAAAGUCAUUCGAAAAAGAGUUUGCGUCGAGCCUCUUGGCUCUGCGCCUGUUCUGUUUGACAUCGUAAAGAGAAGAUUUGUUCGAACUUCAUGAGCCGCAAGGUCUCAUGAUUUGUCGCAAGGGACGCUCAAUCCCUUGCCUAUGAUGGGUUUGCCUAACCGCGCCCUCGAACGGAUCUCGAGAAGCUGGUCUUUUUGUGCCAAUUCCAACCAGUAAUACCCCGCACAGGGUGUUGCUGGAGCGACGAUCCUUCGGAUCGCGCUUAGCCAAUCCUGCAAGGGCGAGGCUGAAGCGACGAUCCCCGCGGGAUCGCGCGAUGAUGGGUAUUGGCAAUGAGAACGAUCAAGUGUCUUAAGGGCAAUUGGUGGAUGCCUUGGCAUGCACAGGCGAUGAAGGACGUGAUACGCUGCGAUAAGCUACGGGGAGGUGCGAAUACCCUUUGAUCCGUAGAUCUCCGAUGGAAAAAACCC